GUUUGAAAGCUGGACUUUCGGCUGAUUCUGCCAGCAGAAGGUGGAUGAUAACAAAACUUAUCAUUCUGGAUGAAACAAUUUAAAAUCUCUUCACAGCUGGGUGGAAUAUGCACUCCUUAGAGCCAUGUUUUCCUCUUUUGUGUGAUUUGCCUAAAGAAGCUGGGGAGUUUGACUACUUUAUAUUUGUCAGGUAAAGACUUGUUGCCUCUCAAAAGUGGACAACAAAAGUAGCUGUUACCUGUUCAAGUUGCAAAAAGUCACAGCAGGAAAUUCAACAUUUUCCACAUACUGAACAUAAACCGAUGUUGUGGUUGGCCAGCUGAAGUAAUAGAUGAAGCGAUUGCAGAUUUGCCAAAUGACGAUGGCAAGGGAGCCCAUGACUACUAACAGCCACAGCACUCUGCGUGUCUUGCUCUGCGUUUGGACGAUGUUAUGCACUCCAUGAAAUGAAGUGGAUGAGGCAAACUCCUGAUGAAGGACUAGUUGUCUUCACUAAAAUAUUGUGCUGUUUGGAACUGAACAAAUUUGCUCUAACAGAUAAGGAGCCCAUCUUGCCCUGAAGGGCAUGAAUGUCUGCCAGCGGGUUGCCUCCAUCAGCAGAACGCAGCUGUUCCCCAUGCUUCGAAUAGCUGCCUUCAUAGCCAGCUCCAUAUUUAAUGUUUUUGUGGGGUUUAGCCCCCCAAAAUGAACUGUUAUUACUGAGAACUAACCAAGUGGGUGAGGAUGAAAACACAGGCAGAGUCUCUCGUUCCGGUAACUGCUUAUGAAUAAGUAUGGGAGCUGAUUUUGUUUUACCCGUGUGGUAUGACAGUGUUUGAAAUAUGUUUCAAGGAAAGAACUGAGCAUCUAAUAAAAGGCAACAGGGAAAUACUAAAAAAAUUCAGGCCUGGGAUGUGCUUGGUUAACCUUUCAGGAAGAUCCAGAAAACUCCACAUCCUCUCUCUGUUCUGCAGGUGGUGGGAAUUUGGGGGCUGCUUAGUAAUGGUCCAGUUUAAUGCCCAUACCUUCUAGGUAAAUUAGGUUGGCCCUUCAUCACCUCACUGUCCAAUUGUUCAGUGACUGUUUUCUGGCUACGUUCAAGCUACAGUAGUCUGGUUAAAGCACUGAACUCUAUCUAGUCAUUCCAGUGUGACAUGCAGUGGAUUUCUAUACCAAACUUCUUGGAAAUCUC